CUUUUCCAUCCUAGAUUUGUUGCUACUUGUUGACUGACCUGAUGAAUUUUUUAAGCUCCUGGGGAGGCGCAUCAGUUACCACUGAAUCUAUCACAGAUCUUCAUCUUGGUCUGAUGACAACUUAAUUGCAUUUGUCCUCUUAGAGAAAGAAAAUUAACAAAGUGUUUUUUGCAGCUAAGUGUUCUAUGUCUAUUUAGUUUACUUUGUAUGGUUAUUUUACCUCCGUAUACACCAUUCUGGGCAAAGCUAACAAAGGAAACUCAACACUCUGUCUGUGAUUAAUAAAACAUCGUCUCGAGGCCCAAAGGGCCAGCCACACGAAUGCUUUCAGCUGUAUAAGUGGUGAAAGGCGACAUAAUCUCCUCGGGACAAGAUUUGGGCUGAGAUUGAAAGACGCUGUGGGAGAGGUCCAGUAUAAGGGGUGGAAAGAGGACUCCUCAUGCUGCACUCGAAUGGACGGAUAGUCUGGAAGCAUGGAGAGCGGACGGAGCUUGGCGCAGGUCAUCUCUGAAAUGCAGAAUGAGAUCAGAAAGCUGGAGAGCGAAAACAAAGCACUCCGUGGGCAGCUUGACCGGCCGGCUUCAGCCUUGGACUCGGUGAAGCAGAAAGACGGGUCACAGGACAGCUCAACCCACGCCAGCCUGAGACGAAACGUGUCCGCACCACAACUUGAAGCACAGUACAAAGAAAACAUUAUUAUGACCGUGCGAAGAUACUCCAUAUCGUCCAACUCUGAGAAUGAGAUUUUGCACAAGCCGAGACGAUACGAGGAGACUGUGAACAACAACAAAUGGGCAAAACUACAUGAUGGUUCACACAGCCGUCCUUCUAGUGCCUAUUCUAAACCAGACAUGGAGAAAUUAACCAACAGACAUUCCCUUCAGGAGUACGUCAACAAAAACAGAGCCAAAGUGAAGACGGUAACUUUCCUGUUGCCAGUGGAUGACAUUUACACCAAUCGACCUGUACUAGCUGAACACCUGUCAGAAAGAAGCACCUGUGAACUCCAAGCGAUAGCGGAAACAGACUCGUGAAGCCCAAACUAAUGGCGGGAAAAACAGAAACACCCACAAAACUGAUGCUUGUGAAGCUGACAAAGAAGAAGUGCAGUAAUGCGGUCAAAAUCUAUCCCAAAUGCAUCGUGCGGUGAAUUAAUACCCACACCUGACCUCAAUGCUUUGACUCCUGUUACAGAUUUGGUUUCUCAAAUUCAUCCAGCUAAAGAAACUCAAGUCAUCCCAUGGUCUCGUCCGAUGUCAGUCCCACUCCGGCGUUUGGAUCGGGUGUCUGCUUGUGUGAAAAAAAGCUCACUAUACUGAGUUUGGUGCAACUGUUAGUUUAUAGCGCUUUUGAACGACGGACAUUAUUUACAUCAGUUUGUUCUCCACAAAAUCUCCCACUAUUUUAUUCAGCAUUAGCUUGCUCAACUUUAGCAUAACAGUUUACUUAAAAACAUGUUUAAAGUGAUAGUUCUCCUAAAAAUUAAAAUGAAAAUUCUCUUAUAAUUUCUCAUUCUCAAUUUGUUCCAAAGCAAAGGAAGAUAUUUUGAAGAAUGUUGGUAACCAGACAGCUGACGGUAACACUGAUUUCCACAGUAUUUUUUUCCCCAAACUAUAGAAUUGGCAGUGGCUACCAUCAACUGUUUGAUUAUCAAUAUCUUUCUAAAAUAUCUUCUGUGUUCACCAUAAGAAAGAAACUCGUUGAGUAAAUGAUGAUAGAAUUUUCCUUUUUGGGUGACAUAUUCCUUUAAAUAAAACUGUUAUUUAAUCAUGUUAAAAUGUAUUAAAGCAGUGACACUUUUGCUACAAGGAAGAGAAAGCCAAAGGAAGGUUUACACAUUAUUAUUAUAUAGUUAAGAUAAUGAAAAAUUUGCACAAGGUUUCAGGGGUGACAGUCCAAAGGCUGCUUUUUUUACACUCCUGAAAUCAAUUAUUGCUCAGGGGUUGACAUUUCUUUUAGGUAUCACUUCCAUGUUUAACCCAAAGGUAAAACAAAGCCACUCAUUUGUGAAAUUAAUAAAGAGAAAAUAGUCAAACCUAAAGGCUAAAAACAGAAAUAUUUAUCUCAUAGACUAUUUGAGGUGUAGAAAACACUUCAAUAAUAAUUUAGUACAUGACCAUUAACUUGUCUCUGACUUACAAUUUCCAUGUUAACAGCAUAGGUCAUUAUAUUAAACUCUUUAGAGUUACAGUGUAACAUAUUGGAUACAUCUGGGUUUAAGAAACAGGUCAGAAUAACAAGCAGAACCUAGUGUGAACAUGUUUGCUGCGUUUAUCAGCUGAAGGUUUCUUAUUCUCUGUCUUGUUGUGUGUGCCGUCCUUUGUGAGCUCAGAAGGCUCAUCCUCACUGUAAAGACUGCCGUAACUCUCCGAAUCUCGUGGCUUACCUGUUAGUGAAUAUAGCAGUCAAUGUGAAUAAGCAAUGUCAGUGCACCCUUUUGUUAUCAAUAAAACAUACUUUUUUUUUAAACAGUUGUAUUACAUUUUUUUUAUUUCUACUGUACUGCAUGGUGAUACCUGUUAAAGUGCUGUGCUGAGGUUCAGUAAAUCGUGUGGGAGGUUUGCUCUCUGUUGGACUAUCUCCAUAUUUCAUUGGUACCAUUGGAAAACUGUCUCCUUUCUGCAGUCUCUGGGUAGCUUUGAGGGAGAGAUAGACAAGGAAGACAGAGGAUGAUUA
rnacentral:lncRNA from 12 species